UUGGUGGUGAACUUUGUACCUCGACUCUGUCGCAACCCCCAAAGUUUACUCAACUCCACCUGGCAAUUCAGCUCUUCAAGAUAAAGGAGGUUUUCUCUGGGGGAAACCAGUAGCAGUUUAUCUUCUUUUUGUUCUGCUGCUGGUAUACAGCUGGUUGGCCAUUGAACAGAGUCAUCUGCCAGUGAGAGGUCCCAUAAUCAUUCUCUUGGAGAAAGUGACAAGGAAAGCAAAUGUGGAAGACAGCAGGGUGUGA
rnacentral:lncRNA from 1 species